rnacentral:lncRNA from 1 species
CAGCAAUUUUCUCACUGUACCACAUUGCCUUCUUUGAGUUCUUUGUGGGGAAAGAAAGCUAAUAGUAGUUGAGGAAAAUUCAGUCUCUCACCUCUGAAGGUGAGGGGCUGAAUUAAGAUGAUCACUUGAGAUCCGGCCCAAUUGUUCCAUAAUUUUAUGAUGUCACAGAAGUGACAUGAGUGGAAAAGUGAUCUCUGCCUUGGCUGCUUGCUUACUGGUUGGGGAGGAGAAUUCAAUGGUUACAAGUAUUCCAGUUCAGUGGCUCUUCCAGCCACCCCAUCCCUACUACAUUUAUUAGGAGGAAGUAAGUCAGUAAAACAAAGAAUAACAGAAACAAAUUCAAACUGAGCUGGAAAAAAAAAUUUGGAGAGUGAUCAUUAAAGUCAAGAAUUCAUCUAUGUACUUUGAAAUUCUAGGAAUUUGUGACCUCAUUGUUCUUAUGAUGUGUUUCCUACUCCUCAGUUUAAUAGUGGUUUUAUCAUGGCAAAGUGCCAUUCAAUGAGAGAGAGAGACCUUUUCUAGAGAAUAUGAAGCAAACUCAUAAGAAAUUGUAUGCAGAAUCUAAGACUAAGAUGACAGGUCCACAAAAGAGAGAAUUCCAAGAGCCAGAAGAAGAACAAUAUGUUUCUAACACCUCAUUUGAGAGCAGCAGAUGGUCAUUAAAAGGAGUAAUAUUUUCUCAAGAGGUCAUUGUUGUGGAUCUUGGGAAAGAUUAUCCUGGAUCUCAGUAUUGUACCAGAGAACAUAAAGAGAGGAAAUGAAAUACCUAAAAAUAGGGAGAGGGGAAGAAAUUGGACUGUGUGUUGGCAAUACAAUGGCUGUGGACAUGAGGAAUCACUGCGAAUCAAUAAAAUCAGAAUUAAUGCUUUCA